CGAGACGGGGGGUGGAUCGCGCUGUGCUGCCCGGCCGCGCUGCGGUACCGACCCGACCCGGCCCGGCGACCGGCCCCGCUCUACGGCGGGCAGCCCGAUAGGCACAGGGAGCGAGGACCGGGAGCUGGAUGGCGGUGUGGAGGCCUGAGGCGAAGGCUAAGCCUGCCCCUCCCCGGGCCGCCUUCAGCGAGCUUCGGCGCGGGUCUCCGCGUUGAGAGAAGUGAUGAGUCAGGUUUGCUCGGCUCCAUGCUAAUGCACGGAGAUGGAGGGUGUAAUUAGUAGAGAGGCAGGGCUGUGAUCUGCAGCGCGGGGCGGCCGGGCCACGCACCUCCUCUGUGCUUCAGAGCGUCGCUGAAGUUCUCCUUGUUUCGUGCUCCUCCAGCCCCAACGGUGUAUAUGCAGGGUUUGGUGGGAGCAGAGCCACAGACGUCGGAAGGUGUCUGUGUGUGAAACACCCCGCGUUAUGUAAUUCUGAUGUUGAAAGAUGACGCUUCUGAAGGAAUCUUCACCUCAAACAGAGCUGUCAGCAGCACUGAGGGCUGCCACUCACCAGUCAUUUCAAUGCGGAAAGCACUCGAGACACAGCAACAGGCAACAGAACGCAGCGCUCACAGAGAAACAAAUUGACAAGUACCCACGACUGGACAUCCUCAGAAACACGGUUGUGUCCUGUUCCUCUCCACUGCAGUUAUUCCCACUCAGAGUGACCACUUCAGAGCUUUAACAAAGCCCAUUACAAACGGGAACAUUUUCCGUUAGCCAAUUCCUGUCCAGUUACUGAAUGGUAAAGGAAAGCAGAAUCCUGAAGUUAUGAGAUGUGAAUCCUGUGAACAAAUGCUGGUGAGUCCAGGAUUUGAGGUCUGCACAACAGCUGCUGACUCAUCAGGAUUUUGUCACUUCCCUGAAGAUGUUGCUGAGUGUUGGCUUCGGAUCUCAGGUGUCCCUCAUUAAGAACUGCCUAUUUUGCCUCAAACCCUCUUGUGGCAGCCAGGCUGCUGAGGAGCCAAGAGUUCAAAAGCUGAAGGGCUAAAAAGAGGGCAAGCAAGAGGGAGCUUUGGUUCAGUUGUGUGCCUGGCCAGCCUUUUUUUUUUUUUUUUUUUUUUUGCACAGAUGUCUUUGUCUUGCUGGAAAAAAAGUUCUCAAGCAGCAGAACUUGUCUGUUCAUAUUUUGCAAAUGAAACACAUGGUACGGCAUGAUGCCAUGUUAAAGAUGGAGCUGAUCAGUGAAAUUAGCUUCCGUUACUCACUGGCAAUGGUAUGGCUUUCAUUAUUUUCACAACAAAUACAAAACUCAGCAGCCUUUAGGAUAUGGCACAUAAUUAAUGUCCAUUUCCCAUUGAAGCCCCCCAAGAUAUGACUCUAAGUACAUUGGAAGAUGAGGCUGAAUUGUAACACAGUUUUAUUCUUUGUUUCUGGACAAAGAAGGCUGAAGUGAUGAAACAUUUGCAUCUGUUUUAAACUUGGCUUAUUUCAUUUUUAAUUUUUUUUUUUUUUAAUCCCACUGCAUUAUUUUUCUGACGGCUACACCCUGAAAAAACAGGUUGUCAGUGCAAGCAGGGUUUUCUCAGAAGGUACCCACAAGAAGCAAUUAGACGUGUGAGCAAAGGCAGUCAGCACAUGGGAUCCUCCCCAGCGAAACAGGCUCAGCGCUGAAGGCUCGUCUGCAUGGCAUGUUUCUUCUUUCAUCGAACACCAGCAAAAUGCCAGGAACAUUCCUGGACAGGAGAAAUCUUGAAUUCUGCAAUUCAGCCUUAAAGAAACACUCCUCUGGGGAACUGCCCAACUGCCUGAUGGAAAUGAGUGACUCCUGUAUGCAGAUCUGCCUUCGAAGACUCUGACCUAUUUCAGCCCAGCUUUGCAGAACACACAAGCUCUAUUUAUGAUGCUGCAGGAAGGGAAAGGCAGGGUGCAAGCAAUGCACCUUGCUCUGCUGGGAAAGAGCUGGCAGCCCCAGCUCCAGCAGUGAAGCCCCGCAUCAGGAGAUGGUGGGACCUGGCUCCUGUUGGGGCAAUGAGUAACAUCAUCACAUCUGACUGAACCUCUGGCAUGUAGACUUGACUACUUACUCUUGCUGCAGAAGCAUUUAUAUUGACACAGAUUCAGGAAGAUGCUGCACAGCAGAAUCAGGGAAACAACUGUUUUAUAAGCAGAGUGAUGCCUUCAUACAGCACAGCAGUGUGAUCUGCGAUGGAAAACAUAACAGGACUGUAUUCCACAGCAAGGUCAUGUUUUGAGAAUUUUAUUCGUCCUCAUUUCUAUUAAAGUGUCUUUUUACAGGGAGAAAUAACUUCUUUUAGUUAUGCUGUAUUGCUCUUGAAACUUAACCUUCCUCUAGCUGGGCUCUAUAAAUCACGGAUUUUCUUAUAAACAGAUUACAGAUCC
rnacentral:lncRNA from 1 species